rnacentral:lncRNA from 1 species
CAGGGCGGGGCCCGGCUCCGGUUGUUCCGCCACGUUUGAGCGGGCGAGCCCGGCGGCCGGGAGACGCCAGGGAACGGGGCUGGUGGGGGUACAAAGGCUCGGUUCCGUCGCCUUCAGCCCUGCGGUGGGGGCACGGGGCAAGUGAGGGGACGGCAGAGGCGGCGUUCGGUGUGAGGCUGCGCCCUGGGCUCCUGAAAAGCCAGGGCUGCAGUCAUUUGAAGGCUUGACUGGGGCUGGAGGAUUUUCAUCCAAGAUGGCUCACUCACCCAGCUGUUGGCAGGAGACCUCGGUUCUUUGACUUCUCCGUAAGACUGGGGACUGGGGACUAAAGGCAAUAGCUUGACUUCUGAAAAGGGCUGGACUGAAGGUCAGCCACAUGGGCAGUGUGAAGGAUCCCCAGCAAAACUCUGGACAUCAGUGGCUGGGCAAGCUUCUCUGGUUGGCGGUACUCUGCAUAUUGUCACACAUCAACUCUGGGAGAAGAUCAUACUGUUCAUGUCUCCACAAGGGGAGGACAGCUGGAAACUCAGUGUCUGGACCUCUUUCCUUGGCUGAUUUUAUUGUGUAUGACGGAGUCUCACUCUGUUGCCAGGCUGGAGUGCAGUGGCACGAUCUCGGCUCACCACAACCUCUGCCACCUGGGUUCAAGCGAUUCUCCUGCCUCAGCCUCCUGAGUAGCUGGGAUUACACACAAUGCGUUCUCCUUUCUUCCUCUCCACUAAUCUGUACUUCUAAGAGGUGUUGAGUUUCGGCCAAACUUUCUGCUCGGCUCGCAUCAAAGGCUGCCCUCUUGUGAAUAGCCAGCUCUCACCUAAUGAUCUCCCUACUCACUCCUGACCAGGACGCAGGUCAUUCCCCAUAAUAAUUAGCUCACAGGCAGAGUUUCCAGGCGCUUCCAGGAGCAUCAAUCACCGGGAUGAAUGGGAAGCCCGUGUGUGGGAACUGCAGGGGGAGCUGGGUGCAGAGCCACCUCAGCCCUGUCACCCUGCGCGUGUCUCUGCCAUGCUUCCUUGGAUCCCUAUCUACCCCGUUUUGGGUGACAGGACGAGUUGGGCCAGUUACCAGGAUCUUGUCGCCUGGUUCUGAUGGUGUCUUGGUUCCCGGCUGGGGUUUUGUGUUUACCACGAGCGUUGCCUGCUGUCGGGGAGCUGCGUGUGUUUCACAACAAACAGGGAGCCAGGGAGACCACCCUGCGGGGCUGCCCCUUCCCUCAGCGCUUUCUGCUUGGGUCGCUGGCGUCUUGCAGUGCCUUCGUUCGUCUGUGGUGUGAGGUGCUGGUCCAGGCUUACGCGCUAACAGUGAAUUAGAAGGAGAAAACGCUCUGCGAGUGCAGCGGAAGGUCAAUAUGGAGCCUGGUUUGCUUUUAGAAUCUUCCCAAGGCCGAUGGGCUUCCUCUUCCCUCCUGACCAGAGGCUUUGAUGCCCCUGCCCUGGGCUGCCUGGUUCCUGCCCCGAGUCUUCAGAAAGAUCCCCGGGCCUGGAGACUGUGAGUUCAGGUUCAGAUGCCUUGCGUGGCCUGUGAAUCCGGGAGGACCCUGUGGCUGGAGAAAUCCCGCCGCGAACACCCAGCGACCAGGUCUACAGCAGCACCAGGUCUGUGCUUCCCCCUGGUGGUCACAGAUUUUACUACACGCGGCCCACAAGUAAAAUGAGUUUCUCUUCAGUGGCCCGGUUAUCUUCUGUCGUGUAGGAGGAAGUCCAGAGCCACGGAAAUUCGGUAAGGAUCGGAUAAGGGCAAUAAAAUCGCAGCUCUAAAUCUUUUCAUGGAGUUGAAGACAGACGUUUGACUGUGGGAGCCAUCUCAUCUUUAUAACCUGGUAAACAAUGCCAGAAUAAAAACAACAAAUUCAAUGUAUUUAAGUCGGUUUCGACAGUGAGGAAUUAAAAUUAAAUUUAUUUAAACUAUUUUGACUUUUACCCAAGUUUUUCUUACAGUUCCAUCUCAUUUUUCCCUCCUUACAUAGUUUGGGGAGUACAGGACAUUUACUUUGUGGACUGCCAUUCAAUUUGACAACAGAUUUGUUUUUAAUGUGCACUUUCUGGAAACAAGAUAUUGUUCCUCAAAGAAAUGAAAAAAAUGUUGGGAAUACAUAAGACAUCAUAACAGACACCAGCCUGAGUCGAAGCUGUUAAAGAGGCCAAGAAUUCCCAAGCUUUCCCAGGCAAACGGGGAAGAACACUGGGAUGCCUUUUCCUCCUCCUCUGUCCAUCUGCAGGCCAAGUGUGCAUCAGUCACAGGCAAACUCUGAAUUGAGCUUUGUGCAAGUCUCUGGAAAGAGACCCAAGAUCGUGUGAUGAGCAAAAGUGACAGUGCUGGAGGCAGCGACAUCUGCAGAGCCAGCCCCAUCCCUAUCUGCAGCAGAAUAUGUAUGGGGAUCCUUUAUGUGAACAAUCCACCCAGGGUAGAAUGGGGCUUUUGACAUCAGCUGAGACCCAGGCGGCCUUACAAUGAGAGGGCUGUUGGUCAAAGGAAGGACUGUUUAAUGAACUGAGAAUCUGAGGCCAGCUCUGGCCAUCUGCACUUGGAAUCAUUAGAGCAACUCUACUGUAACUGGCAACCUUGAAUAAUGCAGCAAAUUCAUAUUCCAAAAUUGUGAACUUUAAAAUUUUGUGUUUGUGUCUAUGAUGAAAAGCAUUAUAUAAACAUUUGAUACUACAAUUUUAUUAGUAAGGAAGGCUGAAAAAGUAUCUCUCUUUUGACUCUGAGGUCAAUAAUGAUAAUGGCUUUUCCCCUACACUGGGAUAGAAAUGUUCUGUCAAGGAUAUGAAAACACUUUAUGAAAAUGAAAUUCAUUAAAGCCCUUAAUAAUCAGGUAGGGAAGGCAGGUGCUCACAAUUGUCACCUGUUGGUGAGUGAACACCUUAGGCUCGGGGAGGACAAUGACUCAAGAACAAGGUCGAAUUGCAGGUGGGGGGUGAAGCUGAUCCCUAACAGUGUCCUCCAGCCCCUGGCACUGAGGAAGGACAUGGAGGGCUUGCAUCGACUUUUCCUGGCAGGCUUGUGAUUCCCAGCCAGAAUGCAGGUGGCAAUGUUGUGAUUCCUGGCGUAACCUUCAAUGCUUCAAUGAUAAUCUCUGCUGGUGCCAGGCACCAGCUGAGUGUCACUGUGCAGCUCCCAGGCUUAAGUGAUGCAUGCCGAGGUUUUCAGAGCAGUCUCUCAUUUAUUAGUUGUGUUGGAAAGAAAUCUGUACUACCUAACUGGGUACCUCUGGAUUUUAACAGCUGUGGUUUAUAAGAGAUAUGAGAGGGGGUUUGUUUUCAAAGUGCCUUUCACAAAGUAACACCUUAGACUGUAGUUUACAUUCCAUUCCAGUAGGAUAACUUGCAACACUUCUGUGCUCAGAAAUCCAACUGUGCAAGAAAAGUCAGGUUAUAUUUUCAUACAGCCCGUUCUGGCAAAUAUGCCUUCACACCACUUUCCCUCCUCCUCACCGCUAUUGGCAAUAGUCCCAAUGGAAGAGUUUUAUGUCAAAUGCUGAGUAUCUUGGAAGCUGUCCUGCACAGACACGACUGCUUGGCUGCGUGUUGGAGAGUCGCGGUUGGACUGGGAGACCAGGAAGGUCCCUUCUGGUCUGAGAUGUGAUGACUCUAGAACUAAUUAGUUUCAACUCAUAACACGAAAUGAUACUAGCUACCAUUUGGUGGGCUUUUUCUGUGUUCCAGGCUCUGUGCUAAGAUCUUAGCAUUACUCUAAUUACAAAAUCCCUGCCAAUAUUAUCCUCAGUUUACGCAAGAACAAAUGGGUUUAGGGAAAUCAAAAACUUGUCCAAUGACACAGAUUUAAGAUUUAGCAACUGAUGGCCACGUGGAAAUGGAUUACAGAUUAUUCUAAUUGGACACUCUAAACGUGCAAUUUAACCAGAAUGAAAUUUAGGGCUGCGUGCUGUGGCUCAUGCCUGUAAUCCUAGCACUUUGGGAAGCCAGGUGUAUCCCUUAAGCCCAGGAGUUUGAGAGCAACUUGGGCAACAUGGUGAAACCUGUAUCUACAAAAAAUACAAAAAUUAGCCAGGUGAGGUGGUGUAUGCCUGUAGUUCCAGCUACUUGGGAGGCUGAGAGAUGGGAGGAUUGGUUGAGCCUAGGAGGUCGAGGCUGCUGUGAGCUGUGAUGGUUCCACUGCACUCCAGCCUGGGCGACAGAGACAGACUCCAUCUGAGACAGAGCUGCCCCGUGUUGCCCAGGCCGGAGUGUAGUGAUGCGAUCUUACCUCACUGCAGCUUUGAGUUCCUGGGCGUGGCACAAGCAGUUCUUGAACUCCUGGCCUCAAGCGAUCCUCCUGCCUUGGCCUCCCAAGCUGCUGGGAUUACAGGCGUGAGCCACUGCACCCAGCUGGAAUGCACAUUCUAAGUUACAAGAUCAAAUAACAAGGGAAAGAAGACUUGAUUAUGUAUACACACACAAAAAGAAAGUGUUAUCAAAACUGACAAGAAAA